rnacentral:piRNA from 2 species
UGAGCCAAAAUAAAUCUUUGCU